rnacentral:rRNA from 1 species
AUUGAACGCUGGCGGCAUGCUUUACACAUGCAAGUCGAACGAGAUCUUCGGGUCUAGUGGCGCACGGGUGCGUAACGCGUGGGAAUCUGCCCUUUGGUUCGGAAUAACAGUUGGAAACGACUGCUAAUACCGGAUGAUGACGAAAGUCCAAAGAUUUAUCGCCAGAGGAUGAGCCCGCGUAGGAUUAGCUAGUUGGUGUGGUAAAGGCGCGCCAAGGCGACGAUCCUUAGCUGGUCUGAGAGGAUGAUCAGCCACACUGGGACUGAGACACGGCCCAGACUCCUACGGGAGGCAGCAGUGGGGAAUAUUGGACAAUGGGCGAAAGCCUGAUCCAGCAAUGCCGCGUGAGUGAUGAAGGCCUUAGGGUUGUAAAGCUCUUUUACCCGGGAUGAUAAUGACAGUACCGGGAGAAUAAGCUCCGGCUAACUCCGUGCCAGCCGCCGCCGUAA